GACGAACGCUGGCGGCGUGCUUAACACAUGCAAGUCGAACGGAAAGGCCCCUUUGGGGGUACUCGAGUGGCGAACGGGUGAGUAACACGUGAGUAACCUGCCCUUGACUUCGGGAUAACUUCAGGAAACUGGGGCUAAUACCGGAUAGGAAUCCUUGCUGCAUGGUGGGGGUUGGAAAGCUUCGGCGGUUUUGGAUGGACUCGCGGCUUAUCAGCUUGUUGGUGGGGUAGUGGCUUACCAAGGCUUUGACGGGUAGCCGGCCUGAGAGGGCGACCGGCCACAUUGGGACUGAGAUACGGCCCAGACUCCUACGGGAGGCAGCAGUGGGGAAUAUUGCACAAUGGGCGGAAGCCUGAUGCAGCAACGCCGCGUGCGGGAUGACGGCCUUCGGGUUGUAAACCGCUUUCAGCAGGGGCGAAGCUUGUGGUGACGGUACCUGCAGAAGAAGCACCGGCUAACCACGUG
rnacentral:rRNA from 1 species